rnacentral:lncRNA from 1 species
ACAUAAUUAACCUUGGGGUUAUAGCUCAAGUUUUAUUCUUUUGAUGCAUUUUUUUAAAUGGUUGCUGCAUGGAUGCAUUGGUACCAGUCAUGAAAAUUGUUGUGCAUGGAGCAUGGAUACCAAUGUAUCAUGUAUGAGAAUACAAUUGACACCACUUGCCAAAAAACUCAACCUGCUGUUAUCCUUCAUUAACAAACUACUUCCACUGUUAUCCUUCCUUAUA